rnacentral:lncRNA from 1 species
CCCCUCUCCUUUCUUUUUUCUUGACCUUGGCUUUGUGCGAGGAGUUUCAGUUUACUCUUGGACUUCUCCAUGUCAACAUUGUGUCCUCUCGCUAUCUACAUGGCUAUUUUCGUGACGCUCUCAACUCAAUUUUCCUUAAGUUUUCUCACCUAUGUUCUACAGUCAUUGCUUAAAAUUGAUAAACUCGGUCCUCUGUAAUUCUCAUUGUGCUAACUCUCACAUCAUGGUCUCUCGCAGGCUAAGGAUUGAAUCAGUAAGUUAUGGAAAGUUGUGUCUUUUGACACAACAUUUAUAACUCGUGAAAAAGUGUAUUUGUGUCUAUCAUUACUCAUCAAAGUAUUGGUUACUCGCUCAAAUGAGCAUAAAAGUGAAAACGUACAUAAGUGGUUUUGUUUUCAACAGAACAUUACAAACGUUCUUAAAAUGUUCAGUGUCGUGUUUGUUACUUUGUGAUCACAAGUUUCAAAGCUUUUAUCAAUCUGUGUUUCGAUAUUCCAGCCGUGUUAUUCAAAAAGAACACAAAAAUCUGUAAAGAUUACCGUUUGUUUCACGUCAGUACCCUUAUUGUGUCAAAAUUUAUCGAAUUUCACAAUUUUCCUGUUUUUCUCGGAAUUUCCAUAUGACGCCUUCGCCAUUAUUGUGAGCAAAAGUGGCGUCCUUCUCCUUUACGUGCUAUGUGCUCGUGUCAAUUCGUGCAUCAUCGCGACUCAUCAUUGGCUGUCAUCCGCAGACUUCGGAUGUACGCCUCCAGGAAGAUGACAAAAGACUGACAAUGAACUAUAUGCAGCAAACAACACAUGUAUUGCAACCUAUGGCUUGGUGACAUUCACUUUGGACUUCAGUCUCCGCUGCACACUUGCAUGGUGAUUCAUAGUUGCUGAUGUAGCCAAGCAAAUCAUUGGCGUUGACUUCUUACAUCACUAUGAUUUCCUUUUUGAUGUUCGCCAACAAUGCUUCAUAGACCAGUUGACAUCAUUGGUUGCUGCUGGCCGUUCAGCAUCAUGCAGAUUGUCUCAAUAGUCUUGAGACUACCCAGACGAAAAUGUCGAGGAGCAUACUUGGUCUACGGUUGAAUCAGCGAGUCAGAAACACCCAGAUUCUGCAGCAGGUGAGAAUUAAAUAUCUUCAAAAGGAAGCGCAUCUCGUCAAAUGGAAAUGGGCAGGACAUGUGGCGAGGAUGGCACCGGAACGCUGGGCAAAGAUAUGCACCAAAUGGAUUCCGCGCGACAGAAGAAGAACGAGAGGACGCCCAGCCAUUAGAUGGAGGGACGAGAUCGCUCAGCGUGUAGGAGAUAUGUGGCCGACAACAGCCAGGGAUCGGAGAAGGUGGUAGAGAAUCAUGGACAAUUUGUAAAUAUAUUGUAAAUUUUGUUAUUUCUAGAUGUUUUUUGUAACUGCCAACCAAAAAUUACCUCAAUUGAGAGGCUUUUGUUCAUUUCAUGAAUGUCAAUAAAGCUAUUAUUAUAAUUAGUAUUAUAUUUGUGGUCAGAAAAAUGAAUUAAAAAUCACAGAGUAGAAGACAGAGAAUGAAUCUGAGAAAAUAUAUUUGAGGUUUGGAAGAAAGAUAAAAAAGUAACUGCAAUAAAAGAAAUAUAGGAUAGUUAAAUGAAGGUGGCAUUUACUAGUUCAUUAUGUGUGAAUGAAUUGCGAGAUAUUCACUGACUUUAUCCAUUCUGCUAUCUUUUUAAUACUAGUUUUUGCUAUUAAGUUAUCUGGUAUGAGAUUGAUCAGUCUGUUACUUAUGUAAGGGAAUUGUCUCCGGCAUACAGUCAUGUCUGUUCUAUUGAUUUGGAAAUUACCCUGCAUACGGAAAUCGUAAGUUCUAAUUUGUGGUGUGAAUUGAUUUAUAUUUUUAAUUAUAUAUAGUAUUAUAUUCUUAACAAAUAACUGUCUGAACUGUUAAUAUUAGAAAUUCAAUGAAAAGGAGAUGUGUAGGGUAUCUUCUAGGUCGGCCAAGUGCUGCUUUUAUUAUGUGCUUUUGAAUAAGAUAGAUUUUAUUGAAAUGUGUGUCUAAUGCUCCACCCCAUACCCUAAUACCAUAUUGCAAAACCGACUGGG